rnacentral:rRNA from 1 species
CGAGUGGCGGACGGGUGAGUAAUGUCUGGGAAACUGCCCGGUGGAGGGGGAUAACUACUGGAAACGGUAGCUAAUACCGCAUAACGUCGCAAGACCAAANAGGGGGACCUUCGGGCCUCUUGCCACCGGAUGUGCCCAGAUGGGAUUAGCUUGUUGGUGAGGUAACGGCUCACCAAGGCGACGAUCCCUAGCUGGUCUGAGAGGAUGACCAGCCACACUGGAACUGAGACACGGUCCAGACUCCUACGGAAGGCAGCAG